rnacentral:sRNA from 1 species
UGACUUCUUCCUUUAGAUAGCCCUUCUCCCAGUCACUCAGGGUCAACACCUCUGUCUCCUGAAUGGGAUAUGUGUUGGCCUGGAGCUCCGUAAUAAACCUCGCCUCUGUUUAUUACGUCAAGAUUAGUCUCUCGUGUGUCUGGGAUCCGAGACUUCCGGAGACUUGAGUGAGGGUCUCCCUUCGGGGAUCUUUGAGCACCAUUCCCUGGGUUGGCCUGUAGCAUGAAAUAAUAUAGACCAUCUCAUGGUAUACACCUCUAGAACAUUGACUAAUACAUCAAGCUAUGACUGACAAGAUAAGCCAGUGAAAAAUACCAAAGACCGAAGUACAGCAGUGUCCUCAAACUUCCAUAAGACAGAAUGAUAUAUAUUUAUUUUAUCCUUUAUUAUUGGACUGCAGUGAUCAAACCCAGCGCCUUGUACAUACAAGGCUGACAUUCUUUCACUGUCACUGAUGUACUGCCUCAGCCUCAAGAGACUAACACAGUAUACUGGAAUCAAUAAGGCAAAUAAAAAAAUGGAAUGAAAAACAUAGUCCUGUAUUGAAGAAAACAAAAAAGAAGUUAUGCCAAAGCAAAGGCUGUUGGAAGUGGAUCAGCACAUCUCUCUUCUCAAAGCUUCACUGGAUCUGCCAUCCAAAGCCAGGACUCUUCUCCAGCCUAGACUCACCACCAAGCAUCAUGCAUGUCUCUGUCCUUUCCUGAUUGACCUGUUUCAUGACUUUGCAUGGCCUUCCCCAAAGACUGCAGCAGUGCAAUCCAUCCUAGGAGACCUGAAUCCCUCUUCUGACCUCCAUGGACAGUGCAAGAAUGUGGUGCACGGGCAAAUCAUCCACAGACCUCAAGCCAGGCCUAGUGGCUCAUUUUUCGCUGCUUGCCAAUCCAAAUCUAGUCUCAGCUCCUUCUGCAGCACCAUG